UCUCUCUAAACUCUCAAAACCUUGGAGACCGUCUCUCUCAGCCUCAACCUAGAACACAUCACCAUCGACGAACUCUGUCGGCCAGCUCCGGCGAAGGACGACAACUGCCGGUGAAUGACGACCAGUUUCGGCUAACAUACGAGCAAUCUCCGAGGUAGGAUAAACCUUGAAGACAUCGUCUCUCUCAGCCUCAACCUAGAACACAUCACCAUCGACGAACUCUGUCGGCCAGCUCCGGCGAAGGACGACAACUGCCGGUGAAUGACGACCAGUUUCGGCUAACAUACGAGCAAUCUCCGAGGUAGGAUAAACCUUGAAGACAUCGUCUCUCUCAGCCUCAACCUAGAACACAUCGACCUCACCAUCGACGAACUCUGUCGGCCAGCUCCGGCGAAGGACGACAACUAUCGGUGAAUGACGACCAGUUUCGGCUAACAUACGAGCAAUCUCCGAAGGUGCUGCUCGCCAAUUAGCUACACAGAGAAAGAAUAUAGAGGUCGUUGAAUCUGUUGGUGUAGCAGGGAAAUCUGAUCCCGAUAGGAAAGUCAAGUACUUCACACUGGAGGGUUGUGAAAAGCGAGAAGCGAAGCGUAGCGACCCCUUACCCGCUUCUGUUAUAUGAAGCGACUCAGUUAGACAAAAGCGUGCGCUUCUUCUUCUUCAACAGAGAUUCAGCGACAACAGGUGCAGCGAUUGCGGAUGAAAGUAGUGACGAAGACCUUACUUGAGUAUUGUUGAUCGUUGUUAAACUUUCUAUUAUUAUGUUCAAGGAUAUUUUAGUUUAGAACUUUUUGUAUGCAAACUCAUUUAUUUUGAAUUGUUGAUCAAACAAUUUAUUCAUAUUUUGUUUUUGUAUAUGGAUAAUGCUAGUUGGAUGUUUUAAUUUUA